rnacentral:rRNA from 1 species
UACAGAGGUCCCGAGCGUUGUUCGGAUUCAUUGGGCGUAAAGGGUGCGUAGGUGGCGCUGUAAGUGGGGUGUGAAAUCCCGGGGCUUAACCCCGGGACUGCAUUCCAUACUGCGGUGCUUGAGGACUGGAGAGGAGACUGGAAUUUACGGUGUAGCAGUGAAAUGCGUAGAUAUCGUAAGGAAGACCAGUGGCGAAGGCGAGUCUCUGGACAGUUACUGACACUGAGGCACGAAGGCCAGGGGAGCAAACGGG